GCUAACCAUCUUAACUAGGCAUAGGCAGACUCGGCCCUCCAGCUGUUUUGGGACUACAACUCCCAUCAUCCCUAGCUAACAAGACCAGUGGUCAGGGAUGAUGGGAAUUGUAGUUCCAAAACAGCUGGAGGGCCGAGUUUGCCUAUGCCUGAUCUUAACCAUGGUUUGC
rnacentral:miRNA from 1 species